UAGCCAAUAUGUUGGUCCAGGAACAACUUCAGGCUGGCCAUAUAGACCUACUUUUAGUCCAUGGAAUGCAUCAAUUUUUAUAAUUAAGAAAAAGUCUGGUAAAUGGGGUUAUUGCAAGAUCUCAGGGCAAUUAAUCGUGUUAUGGAGCCCAUGGGAGCUUUACAACCAGGGCUUCCUUCUCUUAUAGCUAUUCCUUUAGAUUAUCAUCUAAUGGUGAUAGAUCUAAAAGAUUGUUUUUUUCACUAUACCUUUACAUCCAGAUGAUUGUAAAAAAUUUGAUUUUAG
rnacentral:ncRNA from 1 species